UAUUUGGGAUUGCGACUUUGA
rnacentral:siRNA from 1 species